UGAUGGAUUGCACUAAAUAGGGGUUAGCUUUAAUUUAAUAAUUUGUGAGAUAUUCUUGCUAAUCUAUGUGUAAAUUGCUUUUCAGGACUAUGAGUGUGUGUUUGGCCAUCCAGAUUUCAUAACUACAACUGAUGUUCAAUUACAAGGGAUAUUAAUCAGUCUCCGUGGACUAUACACUGUGCCUAGUUUCAUCCUCAGAGACUGAUGUGUAAGCUUAAAGUAAAGACAUCAAAGUAUCAGCUAUCAAGAGGAAGAACAUUCAAAAUCAUAUUGUGAUACACAAAUCAAGCAAGUCUAUGACCAGCAUUAUGAUACAGGCCAAGAAAAAGCUGGAUAUUUGAUUGGAAGGGUGGCACAAAAAAGAUGGGUUAUCACUAGGGAAACAAGCUCGGAAUACAGUUCACUGUU